GGAGUCGUGGCUGAGCGGCCGAAAGCGUCACCCUGCUAAGGUGAAGUCCUCCAAUAGGGGGACCGUGGGUUCAAAUCCCACCGGCUCCGCGA
rnacentral:tRNA from 1 species